UGGGGAAUCUUGGACAAUGGGCGCAAGCCUGAUCCAGCCAUGCCGCGUGAGUGAAGAAGGCCUUCGGGUUGUAAAGCUCUUUUACCGGGGACGAUAAUGACGGUACCUGGAGAAUAAGCCCCGGCAAACUUCGUGCCAGCAGCCGCGGUAAUACGAAGGGGGCUAGCGUUGUUCGGAAUUACUGGGCGUAAAGCGCACGUAGGCGGAUUGUUAAGUCAGAGGUGAAAUCCCGGAGCUCAACUUCGGAACUGCCUUUGAUACUGGCAAUCUCGAGUCCGGAAGAGGUUAGUGGAAUUCCCAGUGUAGAGGUGAAAUUCGUAGAUAUUGGGAAGAACACCAGUGGCGAAGGCGGCUAACUGGUCCGGUACUGACGCUGAGGUGCGAAAGCGUGGGGAGCAAACAGGAUUAGAUACCCCCGUAGUCCCUGAGCGGGCUGGCAAGGCGCAU
rnacentral:rRNA from 1 species